CAAGUCGAACGAUUAAAGCUCUCUUCGGAGAGUGCAUAGAGUGGCGCACGGGUGAGUAACACGUAAGUAAUCUACCUUCGAGUGGGGAAUAACAGUCGGAAACGACUGCUAAUACCGCAUAAUGCAGCGGCAUCGCGAGAUGACAGUUGUUAAAGAUUUAUCGCUUGAAGAGGAGCUUGCGGCAGAUUAGCUAGUUGGUAAGGUAAUGGCUUACCAAGGCUACGAUCUGUAACCGGUCUAAGAGGACGGUCGGUCACACUGACACUGAAUAACGGGUCAGACUCCUACGGGAGGCAGCAGUCGGGAAUUUUGGGCAAUGGGCGAAAGCCUGACCCAGCAACGCCGCGUGAAGGAUGAAGUAUCUCGGUAUGUAAACUUCGAAAGAAUAGGAAGAAUAAAUGACGGUACUAUUUAUAAGGUCCGGCUAACUACGUGCCAGCAGCCGCGGUAAUACGUAGGGACCAAGCGUUGUUCGGAUUUACUGGGCGUAAAGGGCGCGUAGGCGGCAAUUCAAGUCAUCUGUGAAAUCUCCGGGCUUAACUCGGAACGGUCAGAUGAUACUGCUUUGCUAGAGUGCGGAAGGGGCAAUCGGAAUUCUUGGUGUAGCGGUGAAAUGCGUAGAUAUCAAGAGGAACACCUGAGGUGAAGACGGGUUGCUGGGCCGACACUGACCCUGAUGCGCGAAGCC
rnacentral:rRNA from 1 species